UCCUUCGGAGCAGAGAGACAGGUGGUGCAUGGUUGUUGUCAGCUCGUGUCGUGAGAUGUUGGGUUAAGUCCCGCAACGAGCGCAACCCUUGAUCUUAGUUGCCAUCAUUAAGUUGGGCGCUGUAGGGUGACUGCCGGUGACAAACCGGAGGAAGGUGGGGAGGACGUCAAAUCAUCAUGCCCCUUAUGACCUGGGGUACACACGUGCUACAAUGGGCGGUACAAAGAGAAGCAAAACCGCGAGGUGGAGCUAAUCUCAAAAAACCAUUCUCAGUUCGGAUUGUAGGCUGCAACUCGCCUACAUGAAGUUGGAAUAGCUAGUAAUCGCGGAUCAGCAUGCCGCGGUGAAUACGUUCCCGGGCCUUGUACACACCGCCCGUCACACCACGAGAGUUUUAACACCCGAAGUCGGUGGGGAACC
rnacentral:rRNA from 1 species